rnacentral:rRNA from 1 species
GAUGAACGCUAGCUAUAGGCUUAACACAUGCAAGUCGAGGGGAAACGGCAUUAUGUGCUUGCACAUUUUGGACGUCGACCGGCGCACGGGCGAGUAUCGCGUAUCCAACCUGCCCUUUACUUGGGGAUACCCCGUUGAAAGACGGCCUAAUACCCGAUGUAAUUCAUUUAUGGCAUCAGAUAUGAAUAAAAGAUUUAUCGGUAAAGGAUGGGGAUGCGUCUGAUUAGCUUGUUGGUGAGGUAACGGCUCACCAAGGCGACGAUCAGUAGGGGUUCUGAGAGGAAGGUCCCCCACAUUGGAACUGAGACACGGUCCAAACGCCUACGGGAGGCAGCAGUGAGGAAUAUUGGUCAAUGGGCGCAAGCCUGAACCAGCCAAGUAGCGUGCAGGAAGACGGCCCUAUGGGUUGUAAACUGCUUUUAUACGAGAAUAAUUUGAUGCACGUGUGCGUUAUUGCAUGUAUCGUAUGAAUAAGGACCGGCUAAUUCCGUG